rnacentral:lncRNA from 1 species
AAGAAAGAAAGAGAGAGAGAGAGAAAGAGAGAUAGAUACAGAGAGUAAAGGAAAAUGAAUAAGAGAGGGAGAGAUGACGCGAAGCACACGCAAGUGGGUGGUUGAACCCCUCUUAUCGUUGCCCGACUGCCUGACUGGCUGGCGUGUUACAAAUGCAGCUCGCUCUCGUGCGAACAAAUAGGCUACUGCCAAGGGCAGCACCGAUAUUCUUUCACGCGCAAUACCGUACUCGUCGUCAACCGACACGCCUGAGAAAAGACGGUGUGCUCACUCGUAUCCAUCUUGUAAAGGUCAUGUGUACAGCGAAGCUUCGCGCUGCUGUUGCUUGUAAACAAGAUGUACGCAGGCGCCAGCGUGUUGAGUAGUGGUAGCGAUGAUGGUCGACAGCAACGAUUACUCGAAUACGCAGUACGACUGUCGUACUAUCGAUAUACAUAUAUAUAUAUAUACCCAUACAAAUAAUACACACACACACACAUACCAUAUAUAUACAUAUAUAUAAAUGCACUACCUAUUUUACGUGUUCCCCCCCUCACCGAUAAUGCACAACAGUCGGUCCCGCCAUGAAUUUUGCACGACACAACACGACGCAAUGUGUUCCGUGCCAUCUCGUGAUAGAAUUAUGCAAUAAACAUCUCUGAUACGAGCGAUCUGCUUUCCUUGAUUAGAUGCAAAAAUGUUUAAACUCUUUUAUUUGAUACAAUAUUUGUUUAAUAGCUAUGACAAAUCAUUAUGAAUAAUACUGUUUAUAUCUAUUGAAAAAGUGAAAUACAUGUAGGAUUCGUGAAAAAAUUGGGCUGUUGGACAGACUGGACCGGGACUCGAACCCGGAUCUUCCGCUUUC